UUACCUGUUGAGUUUCAAAGCGAAUGCUCUCCUCUCUGCGCUGGAUAGGGAAGCCAUGGUAGUCCAGUUCUGUGGCUGCCAGCAAAGGGCAAUCAGCAGCCCAUACAGCGCUGUCUCAUGCCAUGGGCUGUCACGAAACUGUCACUUUGUAAACUAGGAGAGCACACACUUCCGUAUUUCUCCACCCUGACCCUGCAUCAAUGAUGGGGGAGGAGGGAUAUCCCACAGCUCAGCUGCAGCUUAAAGCCUGGGUUCAUUUCACAAUGUUCAGGGCGAGUUCAUUUCUUAACUGGAGGUUUUUACCCCCCUCAGGCACCAAGGAAGGAUCUACAUCUCUUCAAUGGUGCAAUGCAAUCUUAUGGUAGCUAGUAUCAG